rnacentral:tRNA from 1 species
GGCUAGAUAGCUCAGUUGGUAGAGCAACGGAUUGAAAAUCCGUGUGUCGGUGGUUCGAUUCCGCCUCUAGCCA